rnacentral:lncRNA from 1 species
AAACAAAGACAUGAAAGCACAAGAAAAAGACACAUUAUAGUAUGUACAAAAACCUCAUCAAAUUGCAUUUUGUACAUGAAAUUUGAUUGCCCAAACGCGCAUUUCGUCUUCAUAUGACGUAUCAGUGACACAACAAAAACAAAAUCCUGGCCAAUUCAAAUAUUAAUUUGAAGAGCAUUUAUUACCGAAAAUUGAAAAAAAAGUAUGUACUUACAAAUACCAUAGAAAAACAUAUUUGUAAACCGCAACACUAUUUAAUGAAUACAAAUUAGAUAAAUAUGGUUUUUCGACUGUAGAUUCAUACGACCACAAAGGUUCAAGCCUGAACAAUUUGGGCAACAUGGACACAAUAAUCAAAUUGAUACAGGUCUGAAUUCGGAUUGUAAUUAAAUAUUUGACACAUUUUAGGUUUCUGACACAGAAAUACUGUAGUCAGAAAAUUUAAAAUAGGUUAAAUGAUUUGAAUAUUUAUUGAUGUAUUGUGGUUGUGCAAUACACUGUGC